GAGGUUGUUCCCUAGAGGAGUGGCUUUCGGAGCUAACGCGUUAAGUAGACCGCCUGGGGAGUACGGUUGCAAGAUUAAAACUCAAAUGAAUUGACGGGGGCCCGCACAAGCGGUGGAGCAUGUGGUUUAAUUCGAUGCAACGCGAAGAACCUUACCUACUCUUGACAUCCAGAGAAGCCGGAAGAGAUUUUGGUGUGCCUUCGGGAGCUUUGAGACAGGUGCUGCAUGGCUGUCGUCAGCUCGUGUUGUGAAAUGUUGGGUUAAGUCCCGCAACGAGCGCAACCCUUAUCCUUAAUUGCCAGCACUACGGGUGGGAACUUUGGGGAGACUGCCGGUGAUAAACCGGAGGAAGGUGGGGACGACGUCAAGUCAUCAUGGCCCUUACGAGUAGGGUUACACACGUGCUACAAUGGCGUAUACAGAGGGCGGCGAGCUAGCGAUAGUGAGCGAAUCCCAAAAAGUGCGUCGUAGUCCGGAUUGGAGUUUGCAACUCGACUCCAUGAAGUCGGAAUCGCUAGUAAUCGUGGAUCAGAAUGCCACGGUGAAUACGUUCCCGGGCCUUGUACACACCGCCCGUCACACCAUGGGAGUGGGCUGCAAAAGAAGUAGGAUAACCUUUAGGGGGACGCUUACCACUUUGUGGUUCAUGACUGGGGUGAAGUCGUAACAAGGUAGCCCUAGGGGAACCUGCGGCUGGAUCACCUCCUU
rnacentral:rRNA from 1 species